rnacentral:rRNA from 1 species
UACGGAGGGUGCAAGCGUUGUUCGGAAUCCCUGGGCGUAAAGCGCGUGUAGGCGGCCUUUUAAGUCCGAUGUGAAAGCCCGGGGCUCACCCCCGGAAGUGCAUUGGAUACUGAAGGGCUGGAGUACCGGAGAGGAGGGUGGAAUUCCUGGUGUAGCGGUGAAAUGCGUAGAUAUCAGGAGGAACACCUGUGGCGAAGGCGGCCCUCUGGACGGAUACUGACGCUGAGACGCGAAAGCGUGGGGAGCAAACAGG